GUGCUUGCUUCGGCAGCACAUAUACUAAAAUUGGAAUGAUACAGAGAAGAUUAGCAUGGCCCCUGCACAAGAAUGACAUGCAAAUUCGUGAAGCAAAUGAAUGCUCA
ensembl:snRNA U6 U6 spliceosomal RNA